rnacentral:rRNA from 1 species
CUACGGAGGGUGCGAGCGUUAAGCGGAAUUACUGGGCGUAAAGCGUAUGUAGGCGGUUGGUUAAGUUAGAUGUGAAAGCCCCGGGCUUAACCUGGGAACUGCAUUUAAAACUGGCGAACUAGAGUUGAGUAGAGGGGAGUGGAAUUUCAGGUGUAGCGGUGAAAUGCGUAGAGAUCUGAAGGAACACCAGUGGCGAAGGCGACUCCCUGGACUCGAACUGACGCUGAGGUACGAAAGCGUGGGUAGCAAACGGGAUUAGAUACCCCGGUAGUCC